rnacentral:lncRNA from 1 species
CUUCGUAACAGUGACCCCUGCCCUUCAAAAACAAAACCCCAUGGGACUCCCGUGUUGGACCUCCUCACCCCUGAUCGGAGCACAGGAGGGUCUUUGGAGAUAAUAACGCAUCCAGGUCUCCUGUGGACCCC